AUUAAGAUUCACAAUCGUUCUAAUGAGGUCAUCGGUUCUUACAUUCCUUUGUAUAAAUGGUAAUAACCUAAUAGUAAUAAUAAUGUAGAUACAAAACGUUAAUCGCAUAUCUAACAACAUAUGUCUUCAACUACUCUGAUACUUGCAAGGUAGGAGUAACACACUGAUUUUUUCGCCAUUGUACAUUGAUAUAAUGAUGUGAUCAGGCGAGAAGUUCAUUAAAAUCGGCAUGUAACAGCAUGUAAGUAAUGACUAACUGUAAGUCAAUCCCGCUGU